AUUUUUUGUAAUUAAUAAUUUUACAAAAAAAAAAGUAUCAGUUUACAAAAAUCACAUGAGAUGAACUGCAAAAUUUUGUUAAAUCAUAUUAUUUUCCGUUGCAAAGUAAUUUAAUUUGUAAUAAAAUCAUGUAACCAUAGAACAUACCCUUUUCUUAUGAUCACCAAUGGUUUAGUAACUAUUUUAGAGGAUAUCAUGCAGAAAUUUUUGAGUGCUAUUAAUUGAUACAUGUUUAUCUUUUUUUCUUUCGGGAAAAAAAAUCUCAAUUUAUGAGCAGAAUAAAGAAUCAAUGACUAAGUGUAUACCUACCUAAUUCUUUCAUAGGAGUCUCAGUCUGUAUCCACCUUCAAAUUUGAUAUGCAGCUAGUGUUGUUGAAUUCGACAUUCAACUAAAUUAACCCACUACAUCUUUGAGAACAGACAGAUGUCACAGUUAUAUAUUGUUGCUUAUUACUUUUUCAUAUCUGUAUGUGAUAUAAGAAUUCUACAAAUUUGUAGCUUGUGGUAUGGAGAAGAGCGU
rnacentral:misc_RNA from 1 species